AGCCUAUGAUGGUGUAAGAGUAGUGGACAGAAGGGAUUUCUGAAAAUUUUCAUUCUGAGGCA
ensembl:snoRNA